rnacentral:snRNA from 1 species
AAACUUACCUGGCAGGGGAGACACCAUGAUCAUGAAGGUGGCUUUCCUAGGGCGAGGCUUAUUCAGUGCACCCCGGAUGUGCUGACCCCUGCGAUUUCCCCAAAUGUGGGAAACUCGACUGUAUCAUUGUGGUAGUGGGGGACUGUGCUCAUGCUCUCCCCUA